GACGAACGCUGGCGGCGUGCUUAACACAUGCAAGUCGAACGGUGAACCCCUGCUGAGGGGGUGAGUUGCGAAGGGGUGAGGAACAGUAGGGCAAGCGUCCCCCGCCCCUGGGAUAAGGCCAAGAACAGGGGGCUAAGACCGGUAGUGGACCGCUGCCCGCGUUGGAUGGGGUGGGUAGGGUUGGCGGCUGGGGAUGGGCCCGCGGCUUAGCAGCUUGUUGGUGGGGUAGGGGCCUACCAAGGCGACGACGGGUAGCCGGCCUGAGAGGGUGACCGGCCACACUGGGACUGAGACACGGCCCAGACUCCUACGGGAGGCAGCAGUGGGGAAUAUUGCGCAAUGGGCGGAAGCCUGACGCAGCGACGCCGCGUGGGGGAUGACGGCCUUCGGGUUGUAAACCUCUUUCAGCAGGGACGAAGCGCAAGUGACGGUACCUGCAGAAGAAGCACCGGCCAACUACGUG
rnacentral:rRNA from 1 species